UGAAUGCAUAGAAAUGGGUUAAUUUAAGAUAUAAGAGCUAGAAUACGCUUAAGCUAUUGGCCAAACAAUUUUGCAAAUGAUACAGAUUUCUGUGUAAUUUUUUCGGGUCUGAGCGGCCAGGAGCCAACGAACAGCCUCUGAUAACAGUUCUGCAUCUGAAAAGGACAUUUAUUUCAGGGACAAACUUACAUGCACAUUCACUGUCAAUACCGCAAAAUACGUUAGAGCUAUUCUACAGUCUUACCUAAUUAAAAAUAAAUAACAUUUCUGUGCCAUGGCAUGUUUAAAGCUAUGUCGCCUGACUGUUAGACAUAAUAUCUGUUUAUCUUUACCAAACAAGCAUCAACCCCAGCCCCACCACCGGUGUUAUCACUACUGCUACCACUGCCAAUGCUGCAGCUGCGACAGCCACCAUCACCACCAAGGAAAACAACCAAAAACAAACAAACGAACAAAAAAAACCAAACCCUGAACACACAUGAAAAGGAACAAGGAAUAAGAGAGAAGAAAAGAAAAAGAAAACUACACUUUGACCAUUCACUAAGUGGCCAUGUGAUUUUAUUCAGUGUGUGUGUGUGUGUGUGUGUGUGUGUGUGUGUGUGUGUGUGUGGUGUUCUGAAAGCCACAGGGAGGCAGGAACGAUUCCUUACUGAACAGUUGCUAAUGGCAAAUGGAAGAAUGCUGAUGUAAAAGGUAAAGGUCUACACAGAUCUACAAGUUUGAAAAUGGGCCCAUGAGGCCAUUUAAAAGCACUGUGGUUGGGGCUUUUCAAAGCGUACAACUGCUCAAGCAGAGAACCCAAGUUCAGUUCCUAGCACACACAUCAGCCGACUCACAACCGCCUGUAACUCCACCUCCAGGAGUCUUGCUCUGUUACUGACUUCCAACCGUUGUGUGUCUCUCCACCCACAGAAGUGAACUGUUCUCCAUGCAGAAACCGGAAAAGUAAGUACGCUCUACAUACAUAUGCACAAAAAGCCUCACUUCAGAAAAGCAAUUCCACCGACAGCCUAUAUUUGUAUCAUGCUUGCUCGCUCAGCAUCUUUAAUGCAUAGACCAUCUGAUCUUCAGGACAGCUUUUAAGUACACUGUCUCCAACAUAAGAGACUGAGAAGUGAGGUUUGCCAGAGGCCGAGUGACUUGUUUCUGUGAGAGGGAAGCCAUCCUGGCUAACCCCGAAUUCCAUGCCUGCUGGUAGGCCACGUGUAAACAAAUAUUAAGUACUUUGAUAUAUAUCACACUGAGUUCUAAAUAGAUUUCCCUUAAAAUGAGUACACAAAAAAGCGCCGUGCCCUUGAAGGACACCUAACACAGCCCAGGAAAGACUAAGCCAGCUUGUCUUCAACUGGUGCAAUGCCUUUCCAACAGGCUCCCAAUACAAGUGUGCAGCUGCCAGUCUUCCUCCCGGGGACUCGUGAACAUCAGUUUGGACAGACAACGCCGGGUCUCUCCUUAGCUCCGAGGAGAUUUAUGCUGACUCUUUCACAGCCCGUUUAUCACUUGAUAUCAAGUCAUCGCUCCACUUUCCCGUGAGACAAGAGGAGACUGCAAUGUUUCGCAUCAUGCCAACAGCUCCAGAUU